rnacentral:rRNA from 1 species
UACGAAGGGGGCGAGCGUUGUUCGGAUUUACUGGGCGUAAAGGGCGCGCAGGCGGUCUUGAAAGUCAGGCGUGAAAGCCCCGGGCUUAACCUGGGAAUUGCGCUUGAUACUCUGAGACUGGAGUACGGGAGAGGAGAGUGGAAUUCCCAGUGUAGAGGUGAAACUCGUAGAUAUUGGGAAGAACACCAGUGGCGAAGGCGGCUCUCUGGACCGUAACUGACGCUGAGGCGCGAAAGCGUGGGGAGCAAACAGG